rnacentral:rRNA from 1 species
CCUACGGGAGGCAGCAGUGAGGAAUAUUGGUCAAUGGGCGCGAGCCUGAACCAGCCAAGUCGCGUGAGGGAAGACGGUCCUAUGGAUUGUAAACCUCUUUUGUCGGGGAGCAAAAGACGCCACGCGUGGCGUUCCGAGAGUACCCGAAGAACAAGCAUCGGCUAACUCCGUGCCAGCAGCCGCGGUAAUACGGGGGAUGCGAGCGUUAUCCGGAUUUAUUGGGUUUAAAGGGUGCGCAGGCGGAAGAUCAAGUCAGCGGUAAAAUUGAGAGGCUCAACCUCUUCGAGCCGUUGAAACUGGUUGUCUUGAGUGAACGAGAAGUAUGCGGAAUGCGUGGUGUAGCGGUGAAAUGCAUAGAUAUCACGCAGAACUCCGAUUGCGAAGGCAGCAUACCGGCGCUCAACUGACGCUCAUGCUCGAAAGCGCGGGUAUCGAACAGGAUUAGAUACCCUGGUAGUC